rnacentral:rRNA from 1 species
GACGAACGCUGGCGGCGUGCUUAACACAUGCAAGUCGAACGGAAAGGCCCUGCUUUUGUGGGGUUCUCGAGUGGCGAACGGGUGAGUAACACGUGAGUAACCUGCCCUUGACUUUGGGAUAACUUCAGGAAACUGGGGCUAAUACCGGAUAGGAGCUCCUGCUGCAUGGUGGGGGUUGGAAAGUUUCGGCGGUUGGGGAUGGACUCGCGGCUUAUCAGCUUGUUGGUGGGGUAGUGGCUUACCAAGGCUUUGACGGGUAGCCGGCCUGAGAGGGUGACCGGCCACAUUGGGACUGAGAGACGGCCCAGACUGCUACGGGAGGGAGCAGUGGGGAAUCUUGCACAAUGGGCGGAAGCCUGAUGAAGCAACGCCGCGUGCGGGAUGACGGCCUUCGGGUUGUAAACCGCUUUCGCCUGUGACGAAGCGUGAGUGACGGUAAUGGAUAAAGAAGCACAGGCUAACUACGUG